rnacentral:tRNA from 1 species
GAGGGUGGAGCUCAGUGGCAGAGCAUGUGCUUAGCGUGCACGAGGUCGUGGGUUCAAUCCCCAGGACCUCCA